GUUCAUAGUUAUUUAGGUGUAUGGUUUGAUGUUAUUCUAAACAAAAAAGUAGACCAAUCAAUCUUGAUCAAAUCUCUACUGCUUUUAACAUGUUUAAAUCAAUAUAGCACUAGUAAAUCAGAGAGUAGAGAUCCCAAGAAAUUUAUUAUUUUCAUAUACAUAACAAGAAUAACUGAUAUAACAAAGUAGAAAUUACAAUUACAUUAUAUUACAAGGUAUUUUAAAGCAAAUUACAUUAAAACAAGUUUCAUGUAGAUUACAAUAUUAUAUAAAACAUAUAUAAAUACUUAUGAUUGUAUUUUAUAACAUAUGUCAUACAAUAUUAAUAUGACUUGAGAAUCUCAAGUAAUGAUUCGGCAUAAAGACCAACAUAUAGACAUAUAGAGCAAAAACAUAGUAAAUUGCUAGCUAUGUACAGUAUGCAACUAUAAUUGUGUGAACCCCAGGGCCAAUAAUUCCUUCUGGUACAUGUGCAAACACUGAAACUUUUCAACAAAGAUACAAAGUGACAUAUGAUGCAUUAUUUUCAAUAAAUUAUGCUGUCACACAGCCAUCUUUCCCUGGAACCUGGGGCUUGCUGAGGUCUCAGCAUCAGUUCGAAAUGACAAGGCACCCUGGAGAUUAUCUGCGGGUUAUAUAUUUACAGUUACAUUCCUAACUCCCCUUUUUUCACCCCUCCUAACCUUCAGGACAGUAAGAAUCAUAUAGCACUGCCAGUCAGCCAAUCAAUUUUACUUUACCAAAACAGCUCCUUGAUAUUUCAAUUACAAUUGGGAUAUCUGCUGUCUUGUUUAAUUUUCACACUUUCCUCAUGAGUUUGAGCAUCAAAAGACUUCUCUAAAAUCAGGUCAACAACAUUAACAGUGUCUGUUAAUUUGUGCCAAAAAGCAACUAAGAUGCUAGUUGAAGAAAGUAGUGAUGAUUAUCUAGCUAGCUAGCUAGACUUAUAAACAAAAAAAAAAAUAAACAGAACUUUAUACUUUCAAUUUAUUUACAAUAUUUACAAAUUACAAAGAUAAAUUAAGACAUACUAGUGUGUAAAAAUGUUUUGGGUGACCUGCCAGUUAUGGCAAAUCUCUGUCUAUUUGGGACAGCAAAUUGGGAGCUUGGGAAGGAUGCUGCAAGGGUGUUCUGUCCACCAGCAAAAUCAGUAGUGGGAACCAAGGUAUUGAUGCCCAUACGAAGGCCAUAAACUGGACUUUGUGGCCUAGUUGUUAAAUUAUGUGUAAUGUGGGCAGAAUCAGUGGAAGAGGAGGAAAAGUGCAUAAUAGAUUGGAAGAGUCAGUCCUAGAGGAGGUAAAGUGUAUAGUAGAUGGUGAGGCCAGUCAUCCUGUAUCAGCAGUCUGUUUGACAGUGAGAACAACAGUCACAAAUGUGUUGACUUGGCAUUGGCGAAGAGGUCCACCUGUGCCUUGCCUAACCUUUCCUAUAUCCCAUAACAUUUAAGAGUGGCUGCCACAGCUAGUUUAGAACCUGUCAGCACCACCUAGCAGGAACUGACCCAGAACCACUCCCGAAUUCAUACCACUGCUAUGUGGAUGACACUCAACUCAUCUUCUCUUCCCUCUCGAAGACACUCUUGUUUCUAUUCAGAUCUCAGCAUGUCUGGCAGACAUCACAUCUGGGUGGCAGCUCAUCAGCUGAAACCUAAUCCCAGAAAAACAGAACUGCUGUUCAUCCCAGGUCAUUCAUUCCUACUUCAGGAUCUUGUGAUCUCCCUGGACAACUCUCAGAUCUCACCUUCUGUCACUGCAUGCAAACUUAGGGUAACCAUGGACAAUCAACUGUCCUUUUCCUCUCACAUUGCUAAUCUGAUACUCUCAUGCCAAUUUAUCCUUGACAACAUCAGAAGAAUUCGUAUAUACAGAGCUUCACUCCUGAUAGAUCUGCCUCUGAGCAUCAUCCAACCUCUGCAACUAAUCCAGAAUGCAUUUCAUUAACUUCAACCUUCCUAAGUUCUUCCACACCACCCCAUUGCUACGCUCCCUCCACUGGCUUCCUGUAGCUGUCCACAUCAGAUUUAAAACACUGAUGCGUGCCUACAAAGCCAAAUGGAAAAACUUGUUUAAAGAACUUAUGCAUCUGCACUGCAUCAAGCUCCCUUCAAUGCUCAGGAUGUAUUUAUUGAUAGAGACUUCAAACCACUUCUAUAAGUCACUCUGGAUAAAGGUGUCUGACAAAUGCUAUAAAUGUAAAUUUAAUAUUUGUAAGGCAGUGCCCUCAUGCCAGCUGGCCAUCAUGGAGACAAGGUCACUUGCAAACAUAUCUAAAAUACAUCACAUGAGCUAGAAUGCAAGCCAGAGGGUUGGUACACAGAUGAGCUGUCUGUCCAAAUCUCCCUUUAAAACUAUUGUGAAUAAUGGUGUGACUACUAUUGUGCAAAGCAGCACAUUUGGUGCUGUAGGAGCUACCAUUUUAAGAGUGGCUGCCAUGGAUAGUUUGUCAGUGGAUAGCCUGACAGUGACAACUGUGAACUAACAGAGUUAGUUAUCCAGGCCACGCCACAGAGUUGUAGGAGAAAAGGUACUAUGGAUGCAUAAAAAGUAUGCUCAUUGAGAAAGAAAAGAUAAAAUGAGACAAUUUGAGUCGAUCCCCAGCUUUGAUUAUGACAUGGAUAUUUCUAUAUGGUGUAUAAGUGUUUGGAAGAAAGGAUGGCUAUAUGAUAGCAGUAUUUGUGCCAAUACUGCCUCCAUUGUGACUUGAAAGUCUCUCAAAACAUUCACCUACACACACACACACAACAAGGUAUCUAGGUGACUCAUACCAUCCUUGGCAGUCAAAAAAAAUGUAUGUACUGUAUAUGAGAGAGAGAGAGAGAGAGAGAGAGAGAGAGAGUGAGAGAGAUGAUCUGGAUGAAACAUGACUUUUUUUUUUUUACGUUGAAUUAUGUGCAAUACAUUAAGACAGACUAUUCCUAAGGAUUUGUUUUGCAUUAUUGAGACCAUUGUGCUGACAAAUGACCAGUGUCAUUUUGGUCCAAAUUUAUUGGAUCACGUGAAUGUUGUAAUUCAUUAAAACACCCAAAGAAGCUCUUAUCUGUAGGGUAUGUGACAUAGUCCAUACUAAUACUCACAUGCUUUAAAGUAUUUUUUCUUUUAUUUCUAUCCAUACUUAAUCUUUAUCAUUAUUGAAAACAGAUCUUUUAAAAGAAACACCAUUCAAAGCCACAGAAAUUUUAAAAUACUGUUUUUGCAUUGUAGAACAGCUGUAUGUAAUUUGAAAAUGACAUGGUGUACAUGGUGUUCACAGUAUGUUGUACAAGUGGUAAUUUCUAGUGGCUAAUGGGUGACAAUAUGUUCAGAUACUGUUGACUGGUGAUGACCUUGUCACUUCAUCUGGGAUUUUUGGUCUGUAUUCCUGAUCACUUUGUGGUAGAGGAUUCUCACCUAGACGGUAGUAAAUCUGUCUUGAACCAGUCAGGCACCCUUGUGCUGAUACCCGCGUUCUUCCUUGGUAGGCUUUCCAUAGUCGGCCGUAAUAUAGAUCCUCUUUAAUCUUUGCAUAUAAUUUUGUGGGGUCAAAGCUAGAGGGAGAGGGGGUAUGAUGUACUUCAUGUGCCUCUUGAGCUGUGUACAUCUAAAGCAAUAUAGACAACAUGAGUUAUUUGCAUGUUGUUAUAAGGCCUAUGUGAAUGUUCUGUAUUGCAGUAGUCAGUAUUGAACUGAAGCUAAAUCAGAAUUAAUGCAGAUUUUCCACAAGCACACAAAUGCAUGUUCAUGGUAGGCUUACCAUUCCUUUGUAUUUUUAGACUACUUUUGGUAUAGAACAGGUUUUACACUGUUAUGUAGUGUCCCAGGUGAUUGACACUUGAUCUGAAAUUUUGAUUACGUCACAUAGUUCUGCUCUUUUUUUGUUUUGUUUUUUGUUAAUUUUAUCAAUUAUUUGUUAUCAAAAGCUUACCGAACAUGCUGCAUCAUAAGCUAAGCUUGUUGGAAUGAAGAAUAGAACUAUAUAAUUACAAUAUUUGCAUAUGGGCUUUUUCCAUUACUUAAUGGAAAAUGUUAGUGUUAUCUAUCUCUGUGUGAACCUGCUGAGCUAGGCAGUGGCCAAUAAAUUUCAACCACAGUGCCUGCGCAAGAGAAAAAGAAAACAGGAAAUACAGAUACCACUAGUUCUUUCAUCUAAGGUCAUUUAAGAAGUAAAACAUAACACAGGUAAUUAUUACUGAGUAAAGUUUUUGAAUAAAGUUAGAGUAAAAAGCAUGUGUCAAAUCUAGUAAGAUAGCACAGCUGGAAUGCAAUGUUUGUUGAUUUUAUCUUACCUCUGUAAAUGUUGAUGGGUCUGUAUGCACAUGCUGUAUCUCAAGCACUUGUCUUCUAGGAAAGUCUCCUACAGAAACACCUCUUGCACAUGUAGAUAGGAAUGGUCAGAAAUAAGAGAGAAAGAAUGCAUCCGAGUGUCAAAGCUCCAAAUUGCCCCAAAAAACUCUGCUUUCGUCCUGCUUCAUGUGGUUCAGCUGAAGAUAUGAGCACAUCUAGAAGGGUGUGGGUGUACACAUAAACACACAUGAACAUAGCAAGCUGUAAAUAUUUGUUCUGAACAGCAAUGUGAAGGCUGAGGAUUAUUUCAUAGACUAAUUAAGAUUAAUGUAAAAAUCAUUAUACUUUUUAUUACUGUAUCGCUGAUGUCCAUACAUUGCUUCAGAAUGCCUGAUGGAAAGGUAACGAAUUGACAGCAGAUUAGUCCACUCUCAUUUACUGCUUCUUUCUGCAAAGAAAGUUCUGAGGAUAUCAGCGGGGUUUGUUGCCCCGAAUCUUUACUUUGCCAACGUGCUCAGAGAAGAUGUGGAUGUCUUGACUAGGGUGGAAGAUUCCUAGUUUGGUGUAAUUAGAGCCUUGCACCAUCUCCCAGUUGACCUGUGUUAGACUCUCAUUCCCAGCUAGGACACAGGUCAAGAUUAUGUUAUCUCCCUCCUGACUGAGACUGAUAGAUAUCCUGCUGUUGGAGAUGCCUGUAGAGACAGAAAUGGCAAAUGGUGUACACUGCGUUUUUGCUAGAUCUGGACUAGAAAACAUUUUUCUCUUUUAUGGCAAUAUAUUCUCACCAUCCACUUUAAUGUACACCUGCUCAUUUAUGCAGUUAUCCAAAUACGCCAAUCAUGUGGCAAUAGCAUAAUGCAUAAAAUCAUGCAG
ensembl:lncRNA